AUUAAAGUUGUUGCGGUUAAAAAGCUCGUAGUCGGACUUGUGUCUCACGCUGCCGGUUCACCGCCCGUCGGUGUCUAACUGGCAUGUUCGUGUGGACGUCCUGUUGGUGGCCUUUUCCGAGCUGUGUCCUUCGGAGUGUCUGGAUUCCGUCUGCCGCAAGGUGGAUUGGGCCUUCACUUCGUGGCGCGGUUAGGUGGGCCUAUUCGUACCCUUCGUGGUGCUCUUAGCCGAGUGUCUCGAUGGGCCGACACGUUUACUUUGAACAAAUUAGAGUGCUUAAAGCAGGCAGCAGCCGCCCGAAUACCGAGUGCAUGGAAUAAUGGAAUAGGACCUCGGUUCUAUUUUGUUGGUUUUCGGAAUCCCCGAGGUAAUGAUCAAUAGGGACAGACGGGGGCAUUCGUAUUGCGACGUUAGAGGUGAAAUUCUUGGAUCGUCGCAAGACGGACCGAAGCGAAAGCAUUUGCCAAGAAUGUUUUCUCUGAUCAAGAACGAAAGUUAGAGGUUCGAAGGCGAUCAGAUACCGCCCUAGUUCUAACCAUAAACGAUGCCAGCCAGCAAUCCGCCGAAGUUCCUCCGAUGACUCGGCGGGCGGCUUCCGGGAAACCAAAGCUUUUGGGUUCCGGGGGAAGUAUGGUUGCAAAGCUGAAACUUAAAGGAAUUGACGGAAGGGCACCACCAGGAGUGGAGCCUGCGGCUUAAUUUGACUCAACACGGGAAACCUCACCAGGCCCGGACACCGGGAGGAUUGACAGAUUGAUAGCUCUUUCUUGAUUCGGUGGGUGGUGGUGCAUGGCCGUUCUUAGUUGGUGGAGCGAUUUGUCUGGUUAAUUCCGAUAACGAACGAGACUCUAGCCUGCUNUUCGAGUAUUACUUUGUAUAUAUAGACUACACAUUUGCAAAUGCCAAGAACAUCCCCCUAUAUACCAGUUUUUAUUGCACGAUUUUCAGACAAAUAUUGACAUAAAUACUAGCAUCAGAACAGAGCGGUUUAAUUCCUUCCAGCAAGUUAAGAAUUUAAAGAGCGGCAUUUAAAUGUUCCACUCCGGGUGGAGCUCGGCAUCUGAGAAGCAACCACUUGACUGGUUAAGAGUGAGAAUCUUCAAGGAGAUAGCACCAACAGUUCCCCUUCGUCCGAAGCUAGUUCU
rnacentral:rRNA from 1 species